CGCCCUGUAGCUCAACGGUCAGAGCCGGACCCUCAUACAGUCCUGGUUGCAGGUUCAAGUCCUGCCGGGGCGACCA
rnacentral:tRNA from 1 species